AGCAGGUAGAGGCGACAAAACAAAAUUGAACAAGAAGGAUAAAUUCCAACUACACAUGGAUCCCUGCCACGAUUUCUACUUCUCAUUAAUAUCUCUCUGCUGCUUUGCCGACUUUACCCGUUUCCUCUCCUCCUAUAUAUAAUCUGCUGUGCAAAUUCUUUUCAUUGCCAUCUACAAAAUCCCCCAAAGAAGCUAAUGUAUAGGAGAAGACAGAUUCUGAGGGAGAUUUUCCCUUUUAGAUACUCGAGGCUGUAUCACACCAAAGGUCUAAAGCUGAGAGAGACUUACCAAUCUUCACCUUUGGCAAUUCUGGCGUGCUGCUGAAAGAAAAUUUGUCCAGAGAAGCUGUGCAUAGUGCACCAAUUCCGUUACCAGCUAAAGAUGAUGAAAUAACAAGAGAACACAAUGACGAGGCUUCAGAUACAAAAUCCCAAAGAAGCUCAAGUGAUGACAGAAGAAACUAUAACUGCGGUUCCAAGUUGAGACACCAGCAAGUUCUUCACUUUGAGAACUUCCAAGUUUUAUCGCAGAGGGUUACAACUGGACAAACUUCCACCUAAUUCUUCACUUUGGUAAUCUCAGUGUAUAGGCGGAAAAAAAUAUCAGCCACUUCAGGAUACGUGAUAGUUCAUUAUUCCCACAGAUUUUCCAGAAGGAAUUGGAGCUGUAUAGACCUUCAGGAUCAUAUUGUAUUAGCAAAGGAAAAUUCGGUUCGCAACGGCUGCGAUCCUAUUGAAUAAUACCGCGAAAUCCGCUACCGCGACAGUUGCUUCCGCGACCAUUACGUAAGGCACGACUGUGAUUUAAUUACUUUAAUCGACCUCAUUCUUCUAUAUGUUUAUUAUGCUACUUAAUAUAUCAAAGCAGCUUUCUCACCGUAUAUUAUAAUUUCAAGAGCAGCAUUUUAGCAGCAUUUCUACUGAAUUCUGAUGGGAGAAAUUCAAAAAAAAAAAAAGGACAAAGAAAGGAAACGCAAUCGUGAAGGCAAACUAUAUUACAGGAACAAAAGAAGCAACAUUUCAAGGAGGGCAAAAAAGGGAAAGAUGGCCCAGUCCUUUGCAGUAGCUUGUCAAAGUGGAUGCGGAGAAGCUUCAGUCCUCAGAGUGAAAGCCAAGACCAGCGAUAAUCGGGGAAUUGAUGUAUUUGGCCUUCGUCACACCCUCUUGGUAAAGAGCAAUGUGAAAAGAUUCUGAAGCGCAAGGGCGGCAAUGCCAACGAAAUAGAUAGCUAUUACUUCAUUUACAAGCAAUAAUCAAAUACACUGCUAAUCCUUUUUGGGUUUAAAUGAAAGCUCUGCUCUUUGAUUCUGGUGGAUUAGUGUUUUUGAAUAUUAUCUUACUUUGCCUUGUUAUUUCUGAUCUA